AUUGAUAGUUUAAUAUGUUGAAAAAAAUAUUUUAAAAGUUUAUCCAAACGUAUUAAAUCAUUUGGUAAGCUUAUACAACAAUAUUAAUUCAAGGCCAAAAUGAGAACUCUUCAUGUGCCAACCUCAAGACAAGGAUUUAACCAAUUUCCAAAUACUUUUGAAACGGUAGUCUGCAAAACACGCUUCUGAGUAUGUGGCUGCAAUAUUUUGGCUGCGGGCAAAGUUCUAAGAGAUUCUCCAUUCCACACUCAAGAAAUGACCCUGAAUGUGGUAACGAGCCACUUCUCUGUGAGUGUAAGGCAAUCGUGUAUCAGACCUGAAAAAUCUAAUUUAAUGAUAUGUCUCCUAGGAUUUUACCAAAAGUAUGUAGUAAAUGGAAAAUGUAUCAGUUCGAGAACAAAUGCAGCAAGAAUCUUCUCCUUCUUUGGAAACAUUUACUUCUAUGAACAGAUGUUUUCCAGAACAAAGCACUCCAAGUUUAAAAUUGAGGACAAAAAUUACUGAUUGUCAUCUAGAGCAUUCCCUCCGAUUAGCUAGCAAAUGUACAGCUCUGGUAAAAAUUUUGAGAUGUUAAAUUAUCAGUUUCUCUGGAUGCACUAUUUAUAAGUAUGCAUCUGACUAAAAUGAACAUUUAUGUUUUAUUCUAUAAACUAAUGGCAACAUUUCUCACAAAUUAAAAUAUUGUAAUUUUCAGCAUUUAUUUGCAGAAAAUGACAACUGGUCCAAAAAAAUGCAGUACAAGUAAAUAUUUUAUUUUUAUACAAUACUAAUAUUUGGGGAUAGAACAAAAAAAUCUUUAUUUAUGGAAGCACCCCAUUAUCAACACAUCGUCAACCAAAUUUCACCGUGGGUGUGAGACACCGCUUGUAGAUCUCUCCAGGUCUCCGUCAAACCAUUAGAUGACCCGAUUUUGGGCAAAGCUGAAAAUUAGACUCAUCAGCGAUAACUACCUUACUCAAGUCCUCUACAACCCUCCAGUCCUAUUUGCUUCUCUUUAAUGAAAUGAAUUGGUGGUCAUCCAGAUCAGUGGAGUUGUUUUUUCCUAUGACGGUCUUUUGUUUUGUUGUCCCCAAUGUCUGCUGCUUGACACUGUUCUUAUGAACCUCUUUGAAAUUGUAAGGGUGGAAGCAACCUGACGCUCACUGGAGAUCCCUCUGCCAGUAAAGACAGAAUUUAGCCCUUUUCCUCACUCAAAACUUUUGGCAUUGUUAGCAGUUAUUUUUCUAUUCCAAUAAAUUUGAGGUACUACUAGCACUGUUUUUACCAUUCAGCUAUUCCGAUUGCAGGAG